GAUAGAAGGGGAGAACUUCUCACACUAAACCCUUUUUUAAGACACCUAACCUCAUUCUUGAGGGCAAAGCCCUUGUGACAAUCACCUCCUAAAAGCUGCACCUCUUACUACUGUUGCAUGGAGGAUUCAGUUCCAGCAUGAACUUGGGAGGAGACACAAACAUUCUAACCAUAGUAGCAGACAUUCCAGCCCAUCCAUUCCUCUGCUCCUUAUACCGUCCACUAAGCUACAUCCUGAAUGCCAAGGAUCAAGUGUCCAUCCAGAUAAAUAUGGCCUUGGCUGACACAGUCACAAAUAGGCUUAAUGGCCG
rnacentral:lncRNA from 1 species